GCAUGGCCGAAGUCAAAUGAUUGAAACAAGUAAGAGUAAAGAGUAUAUAUAUAUAUAUAUAUAUAUGUUGUUAUCAGGCCGAAUAUGCUUGAUGCAUGUUCAAACUGGGGAACAGGCUAAUCACUGCAUUUUGUCCUGGAGAAUAUAUCUUACUUGUAGACAAAUGGUGUGUAUACACUUAGAUCAGCUUGCAGCACCACCUACUUAGACUUUGAAGUGCUAGCAUUUUGGAGUAGUUAUCUCCUUUUCAGUGACAGACACUAGACAGACUAUGCUAUGAGCCGACUGAAGAGAUUGACUCGAUGCUUUUCCAGUCACCAUACAGUGACUGGUAGCGUUAUACAUGCAUCAAGCAUAUUUGGACUGAUAAUAACAUUACAAUUCUACUUAUCACUGCUUAGCGCUCCCUCUCCAUAAUAUGUAUAUAUAUAUACAUACACACAAGAUGUACCUGUGAUACGUUGGGUCACAACCAAUCCAAGUUAAAACUGUUAAUGUGCAGUGGCAAAGGAAAAAAUACCAUUUUGAACUUUAUGCACUAAAAUUCUUUAAUACAGUUGUCUGGUCUUUGUUAUGACAACAUUAACAUGACCAUGUGUUCUUUCUUUGAAAACAUUCAAAUGGCCUUCAACUUUUUGCCAUUCUUUGUUACCACUGUUCCAGGUGAAAUACGUGGGUACUUCAGCAUAAAGUAAUGCUUAUGCAAAGUCAUUGAUGCACAAUGAAAAGAAUUCUGUCAAUGUUGUAUCGAUCAGUAUAAAUAUGGUAACUCCUGUAUCUUUCUAUAAAUGCCAAAAAAAUUUAUUACUGCCUCUUAACAUUAGUUUUGGGGGUAUGUUGGGAGUGAAAACGUUAAAUUCUGUAGAUGAAAUUUUUUGAGAUAUAUUUUACUUGAAAAGAUCAUCUCAGUUGAUAUUAUCUAGGAGAAAAAUUCUUUUUUUUUUUUUGUAUUCACACAAGAAUACUUUAGUGAAGAAAAUUGAUAUAAGUUUCAGGAUAUACAACUAAAUUGGGUUUUUUGUGAAACUGGCUGAAUGGCCAAAAGUAUGUUUGAUUAAUACCAUAUACUUCUGUCAUAUGUUGUUUAUUGACAGCCUCAUUAUUUCUGAGCAAUAUUCUUAGUUCAUCUGUUAGAUAAACUUGCAGUCUCAAUAUUGCAGGUUCUCUUUCAUGAAUUAAAAAUCCUAAAAUGAAUGCAACUGCUUCAGAUGGUCCAGUAUGCCUACCCAUUAGAUAUUGACUAAUUUUGUUAUCAUUGUUUGAACAGCAGUUUGGUUUUGAUUAAGAUGACAAACUUAACAUAAAGUUUAAUAUUUUAUUUUAAAUAACAUAAUUUUCCCCUUUCAGAAAAGAAAAAAAAUCAAGUACCUGUGAUUCAUAAAAAUAUAAAAAUAUUGGGGAAAAUUUUUAUCUUUCGGUCUAUGGCACUCCGAAAGUUGUAUUAAUGAUUAAGGGAAGCAAAUAGGAAGUCAGAAAAAAGGACGGACAGUGGUAGCUGCGACAACUCUUUGAAGUGUUGUUGCCACAAAUAACAUUUUCAACUUGGUUUUUUUACUUUAAGGGAUAUAUGAUCUACUGACAAUAGCUGAAUUGCUACCAGAACCAGAGAUGUUUCAGAUAUGGAAGCAAGAAUUGAAGAGCCUUAAAGUUAACCUAGCAAAAACCAAAGUCUUAAUUGAAGAGGACGGCUGUAACAGCACUUUGAACUCACCCUACUGAACACUGCUUACCACAGCUGACUAGUUUGCAGAAUGCAGUCAUGACAUGAAAAAAAUUUGGAAGCUUGCUACGCAACAAAGUUUUGUGUUAAACAGGAUAAAAAUGCUACAGAAAGUUAUGAAAUGCUCCAGCCAGUAAUGGAUUAACUUGUUUAAGCUAAGCAUCUGUUUUUCACUGGUACAUUUGUUUUUCACUGGUACAUUUGUUUUUCACUGGUACAUCUGUUUUUCACUGGUACAAGAUGUUCAAGGACAGUUGAGAGGUAUGGGAAGGAGUGGGACAAGGAGUGGUUGAGCAAUUGAUGAAAAUAGAUGAAAAUUGUCUAUAAUGGCAAUAAGCAUACAAUUUGAAGUUUGUGUAACACAAUUAUUCAUGAAGAUCUGAACUUUGAGCAAAGUUCUCAGAGUGUUUGGUGAUGAACUAAAAGAAAUAUGCAUUGGUGACAACAGGAGAUGGUUGAACUCAUUAUCUCCAAUCCAUAAAUACUUGAGUCUCUGGUGACCUAUAACAAAAGCUAGGUCCACUGUUAUGAUCUAGAGAUCAAGUGCCCAAUAGAGGCAUCAUGGCUCCCCCAGGUCCAAGAAGGCCAGGCAAAGUAAGUCCUCUGGGAAGCUUAUGAUGAUCCUCUUUUUCAAUCACAAGAGCAUCAUCUACAUUCACUGAAUUCCCUCUGGCCAGACAGACAACACAGAAUAUUUUGUAGAAGUUUUGAGGAAGUUCAGGAAGAGAUUUUGUCACAAAGGGUCAGAACUCUUCCUCUCAAACUGGUGGUACCUACACCAGGACAAUGCACCAAUCCACAAUUCCAAACUGGUAACCAACUACUUGACAGGGACAAGCAUCAAAACCAUCCAUCACCCUCCCUGAGUUUUGUCAAGCUGAGCAAAUCCCCAACCAUUCCAGUCCAUUGUCAUAUCCUCCAUGAAGCUCAAGAUCUGGAGAUCAUUCUUGACCACUUUAUAUCUCAUAUUUUCCUGGGUCUUCUUUGUCUACAGGUUCCAUCAACAUUUAGCAAUCAGCACAUCUUUAUGUAUAUUUACAUAUUUACCUUUAUAUAUAUUAAAUUCAAUAAUGAAUUAAACAUUAUCGACUGCA